rnacentral:rRNA from 1 species
CCUACGGGUGGCAGCAGUGGGGAAUAUUGGACAAUGGGGGCAACCCUGAUCCAGCCAUGCCGCGUGUGUGAAGAAGGCCCUCGGGUUGUAAAGCACUUUCAGUGAGGAAGAACGCCUGGUGGUUAAUACCCAUCAGGAAAGACAUCACUCACAGAAGAAGCACCGGCUAACUCCGUGCCAGCAGCCGCGGUAAUACGGAGGGUGUGAGCGUUAAUCGGAAUUACUGGGCGUAAAGCGCGCGUAGGUGGCUUGAUAAGCCGGUUGUGAAAGCCCCGGGCUCAACCUGGGAACGGCAUCCGGAACUGUCAAGCUAGAGUGCAGGAGAGGAAGGUAGAAUUCCCGGUGUAGCGGUGAAAUGCGUAGAGAUCGGGAGGAAUACCAGUGGCGAAGGCGGCCUUCUGGACUGACACUGACACUGAGGUGCGAAAGCGUGGGUAGCAAACAGGAUUAGAUACCCGGGUAGUC